GGGCCCGUAGCUCAUUUGGUAGAGCGCUGCAUUCGCAUUGCAGAGGCGGUCGGUUCGAAUCCGAUCGGGUCCA
rnacentral:tRNA from 1 species